UAUAUCUUAAUAUAUGGUGUAUUUAUCUAUAUAAUUUUAGUAGUUGUAUAAGAAAAAUUGGGAUAGGUAAACAAGAGAGCAGCUGAAAAGUCUACCUAUAAAGGCUUCAGGUUAACAUAGUCACUUAUAUUGCCUCUACCACAAAUCUGUGGGGAUGACUUUUAUUUGUUGGGAAGGGUUGUCUUUGAAUUUCCUGUAAAGUUUGGCAUUUUAAAUCUUUUUUUUUGACUCUUCUCCUGUGAAAUAUGUAUCUUGGAAACUUGGCUGUUUCUGUUUCCUGAGCUUCACAGUGAACCACAAAACCAGCAGUAACUGUAAUCCACCUCUUAAAAUGUAAUCCCUUGGGACAGUCCAUCUCAAUGGCAGAAAAAGAAACACUGUCCUGGCAGAGCAAGGGUGAAGAUAAGGAGAGCGAUGACCUAUUCCUGUACUUAUUUGGGAGCACAUGUAGGUAUGAGUAACAGGAUCAAGAGAUGCCAAGAGUGAAGGGAGAUGUAGGAGCCCAUGGAUUGUGUGAGGGAAAUAUGGAUCCUGUGAAGGGCAAGCUGUUUUCUUUGUGUGGACGACCCAGAUAAAGCAAUGAAAAUGGAUAAUAAGGACACUAAGGACAAGAGCCUUCUAAGGCAUUAAGGCAAAUGAGAUUGUAGCAUGGAUACAGAAGAGAAAGGAGAGAGAGAAAAAGUAGAUGGAAAAGUAAAUGACUCAAACCUUCCAUUACUGAAAGUUCCAAAUAUUUCUUUAAUGGCUAUCACCAGAUUGUAGGCCUUCAUUUUUCACCGGUCAGCAUUCCCUUUCUUUCUGUUCAUAACAAAAGUGAGUUCCUCUUCUGACCACUAGAGGUCUCUAGAGAAUCACAGAUCAACCUUUGAAGCCUGAUACCCUCUUGCUAUCAACCACUCUAGGAGGUGGAAAUGUUUAUUUUUCUAACAUGAAUAGUCACAUAGUCACAGGAGAUCCAAGGCCUGAGACUUAAAUUUCUAAAAAUUAGAAAAUGUAUAUAGCUGCCUACUCAACUUCAAGCUGCCUACUCAACUUCAAGCUGGCACUGACCAUCAUCCCUCAAAUAUGUCCCUUGCUAUUUUGAUGGUAGAAAUUCUGCUAUUACACAGAAUAACAGCACUGCUUCUACUAAAAAGGCAAAUGCUUUGGAAGCCUAAUUUAUACAAUCAUAAUGAGUUAUUUAUACCAUAGUAUGAGUGACUCAGUUGGGCCUCUGCCAUUGUGAUUACGAAGGAUGACAGAUCAGGGUUGCUGGGGAGACGAGGAGGGCAAUUAAAGAGGAAGUGAAGACAAAUUUCAUCUACUUCACACCAUUGCAGCGGUCUGACCCCAGGUCCUCUUCCAACUUCCUCCCUCAGUAAGUGCUGUGGGUGUGUAACCCAACUCUGGGGUCAAGUGAACAAACUGCCCUCAGCUUCCUUAAGUCUUCCUGUUCAAGACAAUGACUUCCAGACUUUCCUGGGACACUGAUAUUAUCACCUCUGGAGUCCUUGAUGUGACUCUCUUCCUGGUCACAUGAACUGUAGCUAUUUUGGGCAUGUCCAACAUAUUUGACAGUGCCAGUGAUGACAAGUGUACAUUUCAACAUUCCAUUAUUUAGAACACGCAUGUAAUUAUUUGUAAUGAAUCACUGAUGACAUCUGGAGAACAAUGAAGUCCUCUUUUAAUGUUUGGACGAUUAGCUAUGGGAAAGGUUUACUUUGAUGGUCUUUCAUUGUUAUCUCAAGAAUUUUGGAUAUUAUUUCCUGUUGCACUCUGGUGUACGUUAAGUUUUCCUACACUUAUCUGUUCAUCAAACAUUUAUUGAGAGUCUAUUAAUUUCCUCUUACACUGAAGGCUCUGUGAAUAUGAGGAUGAAUAGGAAGAAUAGGGCAGGGUUCUCAAGAAGUUCAUCAGUUGAUAGAAGGGCAAGAUAUGUUGAGGCAGUUACAAAGUGCAUGAUAAAUAGAGAAGUACAAAGUGCAUUGGGACUAGGAAAAAAAUUUAAAAAAACUUCUAGAAAAAUAAAGUUCAUUUUCUCAGCUUGUUUGAAAGCCAUCAUCUGUUGUUACUGUUUUUUAUCAGAGAACAGUAGUCUGAUAAUUCACCUUGAUGCCUUUGGUACAUUUUUCAAUUGCUUUUAGCUCUUUUAAAAGGUGCUUGCCACAGGGUGGAAGGGUAGUGUGUAUGGAAGGCAAUGUGGCCAGAGCCUACUGGUAUAACCCAUUCCACAGGAGUGACCUCUCAUCUGUUCAGAGGAAGACCAGCGGCCAGUAGGGUUGCCCACUUCUCUCAACUGGGUCCCAGGUGAGCUGGUGCCCCUUUGCCCUCAAAGAGGACCCAUCCUGAACCUUCACCAGGAGUUCAGUUUCUUUAGCCAGUGACCAGGCCCAUCUUGGGUUGGUACCUUCAUUCCUUUGGCCUUUUUCACAGUGGAUGUCUUGGAGCUCCUGAGGUUGGUACUGCUGGGACACAGAAUAUUCCCUACUGAAGAGAAUGUUAUAAAGUGCUUAUGUUCUUUACUUCUGCAAUUUUCAAGGAUUGUGCCCAUCUCUCAGUAACCUAGCCUUCUUUUGAAGACUUGCUUACAAGACAGAAAAUUAGGUGAGUGGCUGAGAUUUAGAAGUACAUAUCUACCAAGGGGGAAAGAAUAAACUGUCUUUUGAGCAGAGGGGUGGGGCGAAAGCUCAUCACCUUCCUGGGUCCAGUAUUCUCGGGAGACCAUCUCUUCUGCUGAGGAUGGCUUCCUCUAAUGUGCUGUGGGGUUUGUUUUAUUUCUGACCCAAAAUAGUAUUUGUAUUCAGUUCUCUCAGUGGAGAGAGUGGGGAGAGCAAAUUUCAUUUCUUCAUUGUGCAAAAGGACACAUAUAUUUAUAAUGAACAACUCCAUUUGGCUUUUUACUUUUAGGUGGACAUAGACUUCAGUUGAUGCCAGAUCCUCCUUUUUCCUUGGAGAAUCAUGAACCUUAAAGAAAAGUGCCAUUGGUAGUAGAGUCCCAUUUUACAGAUGGAAAAAUUGAGAUGAAAGAGAUUAAGUAACUUGGCCAAGGUUACAGGCUACUACUAUGCAGUAGAGGUGAGUCAGCCCGUCUUCCAGAAACCCUGAGCAUCUUCCCUUCUGAACUUGAAAGUGUUUAGUUUCUUCAACUAAGGGCAUAACCGGGUCAGUCAGGAUGUAUUUGAGCACAUGAAAGGGCAGCAAAACCCAUCUCUCUACUUUGAUUCCUGUAGAAACAUGUCCCUUGUGUUAAGUGGUGACAAGCCGUGUGGGGGUUUUGCUCAGGCGACAGGCUGGAAAUGCAUGUGUGGCAGGCGGGCUUGUGAGAUCACAUCCGAAGCUGGCUGGAUUCAGUUCAGUCCUUUGGACUGUUGAUUCAGAUGAGGGGGAGAAGAGGCGAACCCCUCUUCUUUGGCUUAGAAGAUUACGGAUCUGUAACUUCAAAAGCUGUUUGCAAUUUCAUAUUCGCGUCUCGCUGCCAAGGUGCUUGUCUUAUCUGCACUCUGUUGGCUGGGGCCGUUGUGAGUAAGCUGGGCGGUUUCCUCCUGCAUUUGGAAGGAAGUUGCAGGGGCAAGAAGGGGGGUGGGUGGUGGAGAGGUGAGUGUGGCUGAGAGGAUGACACCAGCGGAAACAAGGGAAAUAGGCUGGGAGGAGGGCCAGACGCGCAGGGUGUGUGAGAGUGAACUCAGGGAGAGGAGAGGAAAGGCCCUUUCCUAGUGUGUGCUGAUCUGGGAGGACGCACCAUCUAAACAGGAAGAGCACAGAUGGAGAGUCAGACAGACCUGCUUGGGGUUCUUGCUUGCUGCUUUUAAGGCUUUGUGACCUUGGUCAAUUUACUAAACCUCUCUGGCCCACUUUCCUCUUCUGUACUGUUUACUGUAUGGUCUGUUUUUUGCUAAGCUCAGGUGGUGAUGUUGCCCUCAAUACUCCAUGCCCAGCUUGUUACAGAAGGAAGAAUGCUGGUCUAGGAACAGGAGAUCUGGGUGAAUUUUCUGUCCUUAUUCUUCAUCAACUCUCUGACCCUGGGCAAGACUAAGAACUUCCGUGACCCCCAGUUUCUCAAUCUGUAAAAUGGGUAUAAUAACACAUACCCUUUUAACUUCACAAGGUUUCUGGGAGGCUUAAAGAAGAUCAGGUGUUUGAAAAGAUUUUGUGAACCUGAAAGGAUUAUAUGAUGAGCUGUUCUAGAUGCUGGGUGAAAGGUGCAACUGAACACACAAUACUGGUGGACUGCUGGGUUCUCACUCAGGGAUGGCAGAAAGGUUUCAAUUUGUGAGCCAGCUCUCAUUGACUGGGAGUGGCUGCCUGGACCUCCAUCUGGAGAAGGAUCCUGAGCUUUGGCUGGGUUCUGUGGGAAAGAGUGCUGGUGUUGAUUAUUAAUGUCUGUCAUGGACAAAGGGGUAGGAGAAGUGGUUCUUGGAUUGUGCAUUUGCUCUUUCUGCUCCAGCCUAGUGAUUUCUAAAUUCAGUUGCUCAUUUAGAUUCUCCUGGUAAAAAUGCCCCAUCAGGCAGAUUUCCCAUUUCAUAGGCCUGGAUGAUGCCUAGGGUAAAGGCAAGGAAUCUUCAUUUUUUAAAGAAAGCUUUCCUUGCUGGUUAUUUUGAUAGUUGUGCAGGUGUGGAGAGGUGGGGCAGGCAUCGAGUCACAUGGGAGCUCUGGAUGAGUCUCAUGGAGCUCUGAGCAUUGGAAGAAUGGAGCGCAGAAGAGUUAAGCAACUUUUCUAGACAUGGUCAUAAGUUUAAAAAAUGUGGAUCAGGCCUGUGGUUUCUAGUAGGUUGCCUAACUCUUUCUUCAUUAAACAAAUGGGUUGUAUUGUCUGUUUUGAUGAUUCUCCCACUGGCUUCAGGCCUGAUCAUUUUUCCUUGUGGUUCAGACAGCUGCUCCAAAAGGGUCAGAUGCUGAGAUCCAUUGUCCACCCUGGCUCCUGCUCUGAAUCGACAUCAGUUUGCAACUAGUAGUUUCAUAAAUCAAGAAAAAGAAGAAAGGCAAAUUAAUGACUGUGUUAACUAGAGGGGCUCUGAAAAUUCUGCUUUACAUGUACUUAUUUUGAAUUUCACUUCUGUUAUUAUGAACUUUGAAUUUCGCUUUUAUUAUAAUGAGCUUGCAAACACAGCAUUGUAAAAGUAUACGCACCUCCCAAAGAUGCUGGGAAGCAGUUGAUAUUUCAUCAUUUGAGGAUGUGCCUGCAAGUAGCAGAGGUGCAGGAGAAGACAAAUAAAAGGGAUGCCUGCAUCCUAUUUCCAUGAAUUUCUGUCCUCUGAGCUGAAAGACAAUUGACAAGUUGGCUAAUAAGACUUUGAAGAAAGAAGAUACUUUAACCUUUAAUUGAAAAAUCCCCAUUCCUUCUCAUUCAAGAAGCAAAAGAAGAAACUAUCAUGAUGGACACUCUGGUGCUAGCAUCAGUCAUUUUGAUCACAAGACGUGGACCAGCCCACCUUGGAGCUCACCAUGGUGGUGGCCUGGUCCUCAUGCAAGUUGUCAUGGAGCUCUUGGAAAUGGCUGUAGACUUUGCUGAGCAGGAGCAACUAUGUCUCUGGUUCUUAAGGAUUAAAAAGGUUUCUUGGAAGAACGUUCAUUUUCUGAAAUAAACAUCCUGUUGAGCCUGGUGGUACAUUGAAGAUGGAGAACAACUGAUGUCAAGACACGUUUUGGUUGGAAGGGGUAGAAGUCCAACUCCAACGGGCUUGCCAGGGAUGGAACCUGCUGGCAAACAUAACCAAACUGUGGGAAGGGCAGGGUAUGGUUAACCUCAGGUUUCUGGAAGCAGAGUGUACAGUGCUGUGCCGUCCCUCUUCUCUCUAAUUCUCUCUGCGUAUUGGCCCUAUCCUCUCAGCGGGGCCCAUGAGCAGCAAACAGCAGCCACAGGAAGCUCCAGUGUCAGUGCCUCCCACCGCUUUCCUGAGAAGCAGCAGCCCCUUCGUUAGCUCCAUAUCAAAGACAUCGACGGGCAGGACUUUGUGUGACCCAGUUUGGGUCACAUGUCUUUAUUUGGGAGGAAAUGGAUACAAUGAUGGCAGCCCUCAUGGAACCUCAUGUGUAGAAGGCCAAAUUUCCUCUCUCUAAAAGUGAAAUGUCACUGUCCAUUCAACUGAUGAAAAUCUUCCUUUUCAACAGGAAAACUACCAUGAUGUUAUCUGUUGGGUUUCAGCUUCUUACAGCAGUCAUCUUAAGAAUUAAACUGGUAUGGAUAAUCUGAUUAUGAACUCCUUGAGGGUAGGGACCAUAUUAUAUAAUACUUCUGUGUCCUCUGCUAUUUCUUAGCAGAAUUUUGAAAAUGUGCUAAGUGUUGACGUGGUUUGAUCACUUGUGAGAAUGGAGGAACCCAUAAUGUUAAUAAUUAAUGAUGGUUGUUGGAGUUACUUACCCAAAACCUUAUGAACUUAGCCUUCCCUAGCAGAUUUAGUUUCAUAAUUUGUUCGGUAUAAGCAAACACUAAAAAGGGAUAGGGGAAAGUUAUGAGUUGAGUAGUAGGGGAAAAGGUCGUUUUCAGUUUUAUUUAUGUCUUAGGGCUUGACAUUUUUUGUUUGCCUUGGAGGGGGUGCUUUUAAAAAUUCCUUUUUUGAAAACAAUAAAAUCUUAGAUUUUGGAUAACAGA